rnacentral:rRNA from 1 species
AUGAACGCUGGCGGCGUGCCUAAUCCCUGCAAGUCGAGCGCACGGACGAGAAGCUUGCUUUUCUGAUGUUAGCGGCGGACGGGUGAGUAACACGUGGAUAACCUACCUAUAAGACUGGGAUAACUUCGGGAAACCGGAGCUAAUACCGGAUAAUAUUUUGAACCGCAUGGUUCAAAAGUGAAAGACGGUCUUGCUGUCACUUAUAGAUGGAUCCGCGCUGCAUUAGCUAGUUGGUAAGGUAACGGCUUACCAAGGCAACGAUGCAUAGCCGACCUGAGAGGGUGAUCGGCCACACUGGAACUGAGACACGGUCCAGACUCCUACGGGAGGCAGCAGUAGGGAAUCUUCCGCAAUGGGCGAAAGCCUGACGGAGCAACGCCGCGUGAGUGAUGAAGGUCUUCGGAUCGUAAAACUCUGUUAUUAGGGAAGAACAUAUGUGUAAGUAACUGUGCACAUCUUGACGGUACCUAAUCAGAGAGCCACGGCUAACUACGUG